UACGGAGGAUCCAAGCGUUAUCCGGAUUUAUUGGGUUUAAAGGGUGCGUAGGCGGCCAAUUAAGUCAGGGGUGAAAGACGGUAGCUUAACUAUCGCAGUGCCUUUGACACUGAUUGGCUUGAAUGGACUAGAGGUAGGCGGAAUGUGACAAGUAGCGGUGAAAUGCAUAGAUAUGUCACAGAACACCAAUUGCGAAGGCAGCUUACUAUGGUUUAAUUGACGCUGAGGCACGAAAGCGUGGGGAUUAAACAGG
rnacentral:rRNA from 1 species